AUUAAAUUCCUACUUUUCCUACAAACCUCAUCUAAAGGAUGCAGUGAGGGAAGGAUAAUUCACAGCUGGGAUACCUUUGAUUUCCUCAGCCACCACUUCAUAUCAGAAAAUCUUAAGAAUCAGUUUGCAGGAACCAUCUGUCAUGUCCCCACCCCCACAGCACUGAGGAAGACAGAUACUGAAGCCCACCUGUCAGUCCUGUUAUCCUUGUCUAGAAAAGAAUUUACAGUAAGUCUCUGCUUCAAUCAGUUUCUAUGGUAACUCGGUCCUGUUU